GUUUAUUUUUAAAUACAAACAUAUGAGCUUCGUACUCACAGAUUCAUUGCUUUCAUCCAAUAAUUGCUUUAAUAGUCCUUCAGCCUCUCCUGGAAAGCUAUGUUCUACAUCACAUGGCCAUUUGUUGCUCCUCUGCUAGGUUCACUUCAGUACAUCAGUGUACUUUUUGUUAUUCAUUUCAUGAUUGUAGCCUUCAUGUCUCUAAUCGCUCGGUUUGUAUCUAUUCAUAGCUUUUGUUUUUUAAAUGAAUUGCCUCUGUGGUGACUCCAGGAACUCCAUGGCUUCCUGUGUGCCCUUUACAAGGAAAUCCAGCAGAGACUGCUUCACUGAAAAAAUUUGGCUUGAUGGUGCAGAUACAUUAGUAUAAAUAAGAAAAUCACAAUAGUAAGUACAAAUAGGCAGUGAUAAUCACACCUCAUUGGCCAUAUAGAUUAUGUCAGUGAUUAGAGACUUGUAAAAUACAAUUUGGUUUAGCUUGUUCAUCUACUAGCUUGGUAUGUUGCUGGCUACCUUUCAUAUAGCUAUACUCUGAGAGGCUUCUGCAAAACACUGGGGAGCCCUGAGAUCUUUGGCAUCCCUUUCUGUGUCAGACUUCAUGUGCAUACACUCAGUGUAUAUAUUUUGUGAGGGAGUAGCUUGAAGAAAGCUUAUAUCUCCAUAUGCAAAACCAAGGACUCCUUGCACAUCACUGUCCACUGUGCCAUGUGGUCUGAUGAUUAUCAAGGAUCAGAAAACUGCAGAUGUUUGUCAGUUUCAGUCUGAUGUUAGCUAGUUGUGCUGACCACUUGGAUGUCAUUGAGUACCUGAGAUCACAAAGUGCUUCUUGGGAAGCCAGACUUCUGGAGGUCCUGUACUCAGCUGCAGAUGGAGGACCUUUUCCCAUUACUGAAUGGAUAACUAACGACAGCUGUAAGGUGCCACUACUGCCAGUUGUCAAUUCGUCUUUGUUUUAAGCAAUGAAGUGGACAAGUUGCCAGAAAAAAGAAGCAUAUCUAUUGCUGCUGCUUCUGAUGAAAAAGAAUGGUCAAGUAAAGAGUCGCAGAUUCCAUAAGUUCUACUGAUUAGCAUAAUAGCAGCAUUGUCAUGCACUGCUUUAGGGAGAGCACAUUGUGUUCUUGCCUGCCUUGCCUUGCCUGGAAAGGAGAGUUAUCUGGAUCAGGAACGUCAUGCCUCCUGCUGAGGGAGGAGCAUGGAAUAUGUGCAUGGGAGAUGAAAUCAUGAAAGGACGAGGAGACAACAGCAUGCUCUGCUCAGAUCUCUCCCAGGAAGAGACGUGGGUCACCAUAAAAACUGAACGGAUGUUGUAUAUUUUUGAAGGUAAUAUAGAACUGGAAGUUUACGGAGCACAGAGAUAGUUCAAUAUAUUACGACAGGGCAUAAAGCCUCUGUUGACAGCACUUCCUUGAAACCAGAUACUAAAGGUCCAUACUCUGAGCAGCUGUCAGAGUAUGUCAGAGUAACAUACGUUGAAUUUCACAUCCUGGUGUAUCCCAUGGUAAUUUGUUUGCUUACACUGUCCCUAAGAAUGUGAAACCACUUCAGAUGGUUUUUGCAAUGGAAUUUUACAUGACACCUGCAUGUCUGAUCAGAAAGUCACUAAUUUGUACUGAAAAAAACACAGCCAACUACUACUCACAUCCUGGGAGAAAAAAUAUAUGUAUAUCUAAACAAAAGAAGCAUUUAAUAACUUUAUUUAUUUAUUUAUUUUUUUCCUCCACCUCCAAAAGCUACAGAUCCCUUUUGGCCUGGAUUAUUUUGUAUCUGAGUACAUAUAAUGUAUUUGCUUAUCUGAUACUUGGACGGAUUCCAGGUUAUAUGAUUACUGUGCACAUAACCCACUCCUCACUUUUGCUAUUAAAAAAUCAGCUUGAAGUAUGCCAAUAACUACACUUUAUUGGUUUUAAGUUUACAGUAUGUUUAGUUUUGCUUGCCUUUGUUUUGGAUAAGGAAUUACAUUUCUUUUUUUCCAGAAGACUAGAAAGCUCUAGCUUUAGCCAUGUGUAACACAUAGAUGUUCCUUCCCCCUCUACACCCCAUUAUAGAUAUAUGCUACUUCUGACAUAAGAAAAGUGUUUUAAAUACAAAAUAUCUCAAAUACACAAAGAUUAUCAUCUACACAUUCUCAAUAUUAUGUGGAAAUUUUGGUUUCUGCUGCACUGCCAAGCCUAGGGUAGGUUGGCAUCCUACUUCACAGUUGGUAGCUCUCCAUACGUGAAGCACCGGUGUUGCUGUUGUGGUUGCUUUAAGAAUUGAAUGCUUUUGUGUUUACUUGUGGUUUAUUUUUCUAGCUAGUGACAAAGUAAACUAUGGUUUAUUUUUGUUUAUUUAGUUUAUCCAUAAACAUGAGUGCUAUGCUGCCACAAUGGGGAAUAAGUGGGAGAAUUAAAUGCAAUUACACUUACUGAAAUGGUAUCCAAAUUUCUAGCAAUGCUUUUAUUUUUGCUUAAAGAUCAACAACAACAAAAUACAGGCAAUGAGGAAACUAACCUAUGUAAGGUAAUAGCUCCUUCUCCCUCUAUUUCAACUGAUAUGCGAAAAUUGUUUUUAUUACAGCAUAUGUGAAACAACUGUAUUCAGCAGUGCUACCAAAAAGGUACGGAAGAGAUCAGAUGUAAUGUUACUACGCAGUAAAGAGAUGAAAUUUUGUUUCCAUGUCUUAGGAUAACCAAAGUUUAAGUUCUAAAAUAUGUAUUUUGUUUAGGAAAUUAAGAAACCCAGAACAAUAUUUUAGAAGUUAAAUACAAAACAGUAGUAAAUAGUAAAGAGAUGAAACUUUAUUUCCGUGUCUUAGGAUAACCAAAGUCCGUGUUCUAAAAUAUGUAUUUUGAUUUGAAAAGUAAGAAACCCAGAACAAUAUUUUAGUUAAUACAAAACAGUAGUAAAUAUGCAAAAUACAUUUGAUAAGCAGAGCAAUGAGGCAAAAGAAAUUAAGUAUAAUAAUUGAUUUUUAAAAUGCAACUUCGUAAUGCUUGGCUUCCCCCCCAUCCCCUUAUGUGUAAUCUGUUGUCAGUCUAAACAGUAUAGGCAUGUAACAUAGUGAGUAUUGGUUGAACUUAAUUACCAAAGCAUCAGAAAGGUAAUGACACUGGAAGGCCUGAUAUCCGCAUCAGUACGUACUAACCAUAAUGUGUUUGAGGAAAAUGAGGUUAAAAAAUACAGUUUUGUGAUAUACAGUACUUCUUCAGUAAGAGAACUUGUCCAAAAAGAAGACAUUCUCUCAUAGCACAGAUUUCUUGACCAUUUCAAACAGCAACAUGAAAACUGCUAUUACAGUACAACUGCUAAUGCUGAGUGAUACUUUGGUAAGAACACACAUUCCACAUCUGUGUGCAAUAUUGGACAUUUCACCAUGUUUCGGGAGAUUUUUUUUACCCUGACAUACUUAUUCAAGAGUUUGCUGUGAACCAUUGAGAUUGAUUUGUUUAUACAUUUGAUUCAUCAAAACUAAACACCCUACAUAGGACCAAUAGAGCAGAAUUAUUCAAGUUCAUUGAAAUAUUAAAA